rnacentral:rRNA from 1 species
GUGGGGAAUAUUGGACAAUGGGCGAAAGCCUGAUCCAGCCAUGCCGCGUGUGUGAAGAAGGUCUUCGGAUUGUACAGCACUUUAAGUUGGGAGGAAGGGCAUUAACCUAAUACGUUAGUGUUUUGACGUUACCGACAGAAUAAGCACCGGCUAACUUCGUGCCAGCAGCCGCGGUAAUACGAAGGGUGCAAGCGUUAAUCGUAAUUACUGGGCGUAAAGCGCGCGUAGGUGGUUCAGUAAGUUGGAUGUGAAAUCCCCGGGCUCAGACUGGGAACUGCAGCCAAAACUGCUGAGCUAGAGUACGGUAGAAUGUGGUGGAAUUUCCUGUGUAGCGGUGAAAUGCGUAGAUAUAGGAAGGAACACCAGUGGCGUAGGCGACCACCUGGACUGAUACUGACACUGAGGUGCGAAAGCGUGGGGAGCAAACAGGAUUAGAUACCCGAGUAGUCC